UACAGAGGGUGCGAGCGUUGUCCGGAAUCACUGGGCGUAAAGGGCGCGUAGGCGGCCUGCUAAGUAGAGGGUGAAAUCCUGCGGCUCAACCGCAGGGCUGCCUUCUAAACUGUCAGGCUGGAGCACGGUAGAGGCAGAUGGAAUUCCCGGUGUAGCGGUGGAAUGCGUAGAGAUCGGGAAGAACACCAGUGGCGAAGGCGGUCUGCUGGGCCGUUGCUGACGCUGAGGCGCGACAGCGUGGGGAGCAAACAGG
rnacentral:rRNA from 1 species